CACCGCGGUUAUACGAGGGGCCCAAACCAAUAUUCAACGGCGUAAAGUGUGAUUAAAGGAUAUUCAAACUAAAGAAAAACGUCCCCUAAGCUGUUAUACGCUAACGGAGAGACUGAAAAUCUACAACGAAAGUGACUUUAUAGCCCUUGAACUCACGACCAUUAAGAAA
rnacentral:rRNA from 1 species